rnacentral:rRNA from 1 species
UGGGGAAUUUUGCACAAUGGGGGAAACCCUGAUGCAGCGACGCCGCGUGAUUUAGAAGGCCUUCGGGUUGUAAAAAUCUUUUCUAUGGGAAGAAAAUGACAGUACCAUAGGAAUAAGGACCGGCUAAUUACGUGCCAGCAGCCGCGGUAAUACGUAAGGUCCGAGCGUUGUCCGGAAUCAUUGGGCGUAAAGGGUACGUAGGCGGGUAAGCAAGUUAGAAGUGAAAUCCUGUAGCUCAACUACAGUAAGCUUUUAAAACUGCUCAUCUUGAGAUAUGGAAGGGAAAGUGGAAUUCCUAGUGUAGCGGUGAAAUGCGCAGAUAUUAGGAGGAAUACCGGUGGCGAAGGCGACUUUCUGGCCAUAAUCUGACGCUGAGGCUCGAAAGCGUGGGUAGCAAACAGG